ACUUAUCUGGGGUGUGCGACAGUUCGCAAUUUUGAACCUACAUUUUUUUGACUGGGAAACUGCGUGUUUCACAAUAUGUCAGGCCGCCCGCAAUGGCAGCGGAAGACAGAAAAGUGGACUAGGUUACCCACCUGGCUUAAGGCUAGGAGUCAAAAAUGCGGACAUCGGCACUUUGGAGGUUUC
rfam:Coprococcus catus GD/7 draft genome.